CAGCAGCCGCGGUAAUACGAAGGGUGCAAGCGUUACUCGGAAUACUGGGCGUAAAGCGUGCGUAGGUGGUGGUUUAAGUCUGCUGUGAAAGCCCUGGGCUCAACCUGGGAAUUGCAGUGGAUACUGGGUCACUAGAGUGCGGUAGAGGGUAGUGGAAUUUCCGGUGUAGCAGUGAAAUGCGUAGAGAUCGGAAGGAACAUCUGUGGCGAAGGCGACUACCUGGGCCAGCACUGACACUGAGGCACGAAAGCGUGGGGAGCAAACAGGAUUAGAUACCCGAGUAGUCCCUGUCUCUUAUACA
rnacentral:rRNA from 1 species